UUUAUUAACUUUUUCACAAUUUAAGUACACAGAUUUUAAUGAUAACAGGUGUUAAUCUACCAACUUAUAACCGUAUCACUCACUACCUUUGCUAAAUUUGAAUAUUUUUUAAAAUAUUUGCCAAAAAUAAUGCAAUAAAUUGCUUCAUCUAGAUAUAAAAUCACAAAAGUUGCAUCGAGGUGUUUAUGUAUAAAUCAUACAGAGCUAAAAAUCAAGAAGCUUAAAGUAAUUGGGAUCAGCUGUAUUUUAUUUUUGGAAUUUUUAUAAACUGUGCUGUGCUGGUAGGGUAAAAUGAAAAAUUGUAUUACAUGAAAUGCAAGAAAAUAAGAUUUUUUUAAAGGGGCCGGAAGGGUAAUUUUCGCCCCGAAACUUUGGCCUAGUGCUCCAAUCCAGCUCAAAUCAUGGAUUUACAAUGACACCAAGACACAAAAGUUGCUUCAGCCCAUCAUUCAAUGUUUUACAGUGCUGUUCUGACCUAUUUUUCUCUGUUCACACUACGAGGUGGGCCUGAGAAGCUUUGGGCAACAAGGAUGGAUAAAAUAAACAAUGAAACCCUCGUACUGGCCAUCUGUUUGGAACACAUUCAGUGCUCAGGAGCUGUAAAAAGAUACCACGGUCAUGCUUGUAAAACUGAAAAAAUUCUCUUCAUGCCUUCAAUUGAGGCCAUAACAUACUAAAAAACCCUUUCUCCGAACGCUCUGAUAUAGAAUGGGAUGGAUCCAUACACACCACUAAUCCAUGAACCUAGUUGUUUUUGACAUCAUUCCUAGUGUGAAAAGUUGCAUGGUUAUCGAACUGACAAAAACUGCUCUGUGUGAACUCACCCUAAUUAUUCCGUACCUUCUACACUAUUUUUACACUUCGUAUAGGAAUGUAAAUAAAAUAUUAGAAACUGAGAAUUCGUUUAAAACAAGCUGUUUAUUGUCCCUAACUUAGAACACCAUUACAAUGGUUAUAAUAAAAAAGAAGAGAAAAGAUGAGGG